UAGAAAGUAGUAUAAUCCGUAAAACAAAGAACUUUGAUUUCUUAGAUAUUAAGGUCAAUUCUUAUCUUUCUAA
rnacentral:tRNA from 1 species